UUCUCCGAUGCAGGUGGAUUUUUGCACCAAUAGGAUUGGCGCUAGAGGAAGGGGUCUGUGUCUUCACGGUACUCUUGUUCUUAAAUGAGCGCUCAACGGGACUGUCCCCGGGCAUCUUUUUCGGCGUCCUCUCCUCUUUCCCCCACUUGGUCUUUGCUCGAUGCCUCCCCGCAAGGCAUCCAUGCGACGAUCCACAACCUCUGCGGCC
rnacentral:lncRNA from 1 species